rnacentral:lncRNA from 1 species
GAGCUGCCCAUCUCUGCUCUGUUCUCAGCUGGAAUGGAACAUGAAGCUGUGGUGGCCACACAGUGAAGCCAUGAUUGCCUUCCUCAUGGGUUAUAGUGACAGUGGGGACCCUGCCUUGCUGCAUCUCUUCUACAAGGUGGCUGAGUACACCUUCCGCCAGGUAAGUGCUCUCUCCUUGUCCCCUGGAAGCCCAGGCAGCAGGAGAGGGAGAAACAGGGGCUGUGUGUAAGGGGGUCCAGGAGGCUUUCCCUCAGCUUCUUCUAGCCCAUUCACUAGAUGUUGCUCUCAGCUGCUCUGAGAGUCCCAAGACUGUCUUUUGUUUGGUGAACCAAGAAGCUCUGCCUCAAGGAAUACACCUUUCUGGAUGAUCAGAUUCUAAUCGAGUAAACAAGCAAACAGAGACCAAUGAGCUGUGGAAAACAAAGCAGAUGCCAAAUGAUACAGAACUUUCUUAUAGAGGGGGCAGAGAAGACCUUGUGAGCAAGGAUCCAAAGCAAAGGAGGGCAGGGUGUAUCUGUGUCUAUUCAACAGAAAGGAAACUGUGAGGGUACAACCAUGUGGGUUCCACGUAGCAGGAACAUCCUUGAUCUGCCAGGGCCAGUAAACCUGAGCCUUGACAGGGAAUCCAACAGCUAGGAUGUCAGGCUGGUAAAUCACCAGUUGGAUUUUCCUCCCUGUCCCCUGCACGAGCUCGUGUGAGAGAGAAAGACAUACACACAGUAGGUUAGAGGACAAUCUCAGGUGGUAUUCCUCAGGCACUACAUACCUUUUUGUUGAGAAGAUAGGGUUGUGAACUAGCUACACUGACAAACUAGCUACGGAGGUGAAUCCUUAGAAUACUCUAUCUUUGCCUCUCCAGUGGUGGGAUUAUAAGUAUGCUAUCCUUGACUUGUUUUCAUAUGGUUUCUGGGACCAAAUUCAGGUCUUCCUGUUUGCAAGGCACUUUUUUGUUUGCUUUUGGUUUUCAAGACAGGGUUUCUCUGUGUAGCCCUGGCUGUCCUGAAACUCACUCUGUAGGUCAGGCUGACAUCCAACUUAGAGAUCUGCCUGCCUCUAGCCUCCCUGGUCCCUGGGAUUAAAGGCGUGUGCCACCACUGCUCAGUUAGUUUGUAAGGUACUUUACUGACUGAAGUAUAUCUCUUAGUACAGCAGAUGAGUUUAAGAGGCUAUAGUUCAGAGAGAGAAAUUUGGCUUGCUACAAAGCCUAGUUGUCAUAAAAAAAAUGUAGGUGACCCGGGCAUGGUGGUACAUACCUGUAAUCCUAGCUAUUGGGUGGCUGGAACCAGAUCACAACAUAGAGACCAGCCUGGUCUACAAUAGUAAGUUUGAGACUAACCAGCUAUAUAGGGAGAUUUUUCUUUUCUUUUUCUUUUUGACUUUUUUUCGAGACAGGGUUUCUCUGUGUAGCCCUGGCUGUCCUGGAACUCACUUUGUAGACCAGGCUGGCUUCGAACUCAGAAAUCUGCCUGCCUCUGCUUCCCAAGUGCUGGGAUCAAAGGCAUGUACCACCACCACCGCCUGGCAGGAGAUCUUGUCUCAAACAAAUAACAACAAUAGAUAUUAUGGAGAGCCAAGAGUAAGGUAAUUUUUUUAGUAUAGAAGAUAAAGAGGAGAAAGAAUCAGGGCUAGUGAAGACUAGAAUCAGUCAUGAACUAGGAAAGAAAACAAAUCAAGGGCCUCCAGAGGGUAGUGUUCCUAAUGGAGAUAGUGUUCUUGAAGACUACCGGUGUAUUUCUAAAGUCACUAUUCCAGUGGUUUCCCUACAACUGUAGCAGGGACUCUUUAAUUCUACAGUUGUGGCUUUGGUUCUAGAAAAAAAUGACAAUUUGUGUGAUUAUUUUUUUAGAUAUCUCAUGUAACCUAAGCUGGCCAUAAAAAUUCAAUAUGUAGCUGAAGUUCCUCCUACCUCCUCUCCCUUGAUCCCUGAGGCCUGGGAUGACAUGUGUAUGUCACUACACUUGGCUAGUUUGUACUAACUGUAACUGAAAUCUAGCAUGGUUUUAUUGUGAUUAGAGGCAAAAAAAUCCAAGCCAUGUUUCUAUUACAUUGUAUCUAAACAAGCAACUGGAGCUGUCUCAGAUAGUCACCCCUACUUCCAAAUGACAUCACCCAUUAGGUUGAAUCACUGCCUGAAUACUGAAUACAUUCAUUAAGGGUAUGGAUUAGAAGCCACCAAUCUUAACCAUAAAAGGAAAUAAGAAUGCACUUGAACAAGAUGGAGAUGACAUUAAACAAUUCUAAGAGCCCACUGUGCAUCCCUGUAAUAUUAGCACUUGAAAGGUCUCAAAUGAGAACAAGAAAAAUGAAUUGCAAAAGUUAUAAUCAAGCCAGGUGGUAGUGGCGCACACCUUUAAUUCCCAGCACUUGGGAGACAGAGGCAGGUGGAUUUCUGAGUUCGAGGUCAGCCUGGUCUACAAAGUGAGUUCUAGGACAGCCAAGGCUACACAGAGAAACCCUGUCUCGAAAAAAAAAAAACCAAUAAAAUAAAAUAAAGACAAUGAGGCAGUUAUGGUGCAUGACUUUAGUGUCAGCAAUGGGGAGAUCUCAAGAGAGAACUUUUUACCAGGGCAGCCUGAGCCACACAGCAGAUUCCAGGACAGCCAGGGAUACACAGUGAGACUUCUCAAAAAUAAACACACAAGAAGGGACAAGGCCACUCAAAAGUUAUAAAGAAUAGAUACAGAACUGGUUAUACCUCACUUGGAGAAUGUACCACCAACCACUCUUUGAGACAAAAUCUGGACUGCUCUUGAACUUAAUUCUCCUGCCUCAGCCUCCUGAGUGCUGAGAUUAUAGACAUGAACCAUCACACAGCUUAAAAUGUACAACUCAUGUCACAAUUUAAAGGGAACAUUUUGGUAGUAAACUUUAAUGCAAUUUGGUUUGUUCUAUAAGCCUUCUAAGAAGGGGUUCUACUUAAUUAUUUUAUCAGUAGGAGCAAAAUUGGAAGCAAUGGAUAAGGAUCUGGGCUAUAUUUUGUGGAGGUGAAAAGCCUCAGUGAAAGAAUAAUGGGGUGUACAAUGAAUGGGUCUGUCCAGCCACCUGAGCUGCUGCUCCCCAUAUCUGAAGCAUCAGACACACUGGACAGGUUCAAAAGAAGUGAGAGAUGUGUUCAGAACCUAUGGUCAAGACAGGCAGAAGACCAGGUUGGCAUGAACCUUAUAGAAAUGUGUCAAGACUUUGCCUCCUGAGGACUGGGACUAAGGGCAUGCCCCAUUACAUAGGGCUAAAGGAAAGACUGUGAGUCAUAAUAAAAACCUUGGUACGCAAGGACAGGAGCUAUGUGUCUCUGCUUGUAAUCCAAAGAUCUUUUAGACUAAAGGCCUGUGAAGUAGAUGACAUGAACUCCAGGGAAGUCACUAGUUGUAAAGUUUGCUGAAACGUCAAUCUAGGAUUCUUUUUAUUAUUUUUAUUUAUUUUUAAUUUUUUUGGUUUUUCGAGACAGGGUUUCUCUGUAUAGCCCUUGACUGUCCUGUAGACCAGGCUGGUCUCGAACUCAGAAAUCCGCCUGCCUCUGCCUCCGGAGUGCUGGGAUUAAAGGCGUGCGCCACCACCGCCCGGUUUAGGAUUCUC